UACGGGGGGAGCGAGCGUUGUUCGGAAUCACUGGGCGUAAAGGGCGCGUAGGCGGCUGGAUAAGUCAGAGGUGAAAUGCCAGGGCUUAACCUUGGAACUGCCUUUGAUACUGUCUGGCUAGAGGGCGGAAGAGGAUAGUGGAAUUCCUGGUGUAGCGGUGAAAUGCGUAGAUAUCAGGAAGAACACCGGUGGCGAAGGCGGCUAUCUGGUCCGCUACUGACGCUGAGGCGCGAAAGCCAGGGGAGCAAACGGG
rnacentral:rRNA from 1 species